rnacentral:lncRNA from 1 species
CAAACUGGGAGUGGAAAUCCUGGACACAGGAUGCAAAAUUGGAACUACAUGAAUAUUUCAGAAGCAUCUACAACUUGUGCAUUCAGAAUACUUCUACUACUCUUCUAUGAGGAAUAUGCAGCAAGAGAUGACAGCAUCCAAAGAGCCAGGCCCAGGCCCUGUUUGGAGCCAUUAGACAGAGAUUGGCACUGCUCCCUCUUCCUGCACCACAUCCUCCGCUGAAAAAAAUGACCAUCAGAUCAGAGAACAGAGCCUGCUUUGUCCCCGGCAACCAAGAUCUGGAAGCACUUUCAAUCAUUUGCACUCUAUACCCACUCAAAUGCAUUAAUGUGAUCAACAUUGGGCCUGUUGUGGGCAUUUUUUCCAGCAAAUAGCUCGCUAACAUUCCAGGCAUGUACUUCCCUGAAAACAAGACCGAGACAGGGCCCUGAAUAUUCAAUUGGAAAAUCACCAAGAGCAAGAGCUUAGCUUGGCACGGCUGGUGUUGAUUCUUAAUAAGUGACUUCCUAAAGCUGAGGCAUGGGGCUUACAGCUUCAAUGACUUGUUUGAAAAAUAUUUUGUAGGUGCCUCAUACCACUUUAUUUCCUGUGGUAUGCGUCAUAUUGUGAGCUAUUCUGAGCCAGGCUGUUUAAGCACACUAACAUUUUUUUCCAAGAUUGCGGUGUUUAACUAAAAAUGUGCUUAUAUAAGAUGAGCUCAUAGCUAUUAGUGCUGAUGUAGUUUUAACUACUUGGAUACCAAUACCCCAAGGUCUAAAACCUGCUGAAAAGGGAGGGAAACCUAAGCAAAAACCAUCCUUCACAGUUGUUGAAGGCUUUUUGUAGACAAGAUAACUGGAAAAAUAUUUGAAAAGUUGGAUUUUGUUUCUACAGGACAUUUGGUGUACAGAAUACCUUUAGAUCUCAUUGUAAAAACUUGCUUUUAAAAGGCUAAGUGAUGUAAAUAGCUGGAGAGAUUUCAGAAACCCACUGAAAAAUAAUUUCUUCAAUGUUUUUUCAUGUGCUACAAAUAACACUUCCAGCAAAAGCAGUUUAUGUGCGCUUCUUCAGUGCAGCUGGAUGGACGAGGUACAUACUAAUGUUUUAUUCAUUGGAAUAUGCCUCUCAUUGACAUGGCUACCAUGACAAGGCAAGUUUGACUGUGCUGAAGGGGGUCAGCAGAGAUUUUUGUCAAGGCAUGCCAUUGUGGAGGAGGGUGUCUGGCUGUCACAGCACUAUUGUU